GAGAGAGAGAGGGGAGAGAGAGAGAGAGAGAGAGAGAGAGAGAGAGAGAGAGAGAGAGAGUCUGGAGCUGAGAUUGAGGCUGGGACUGAAGCUGGAGUUGGGACUGAGGCUGAGCUGUGGAGGAGACAGUCUGAGUUAAAUCACUGGGUCUUACAAGAAACACCGAGUGGGAGCUUUCUCCUCUUCUUAACAGAGAAGUGGAACACAGCAGAAAGAAGUGGCAAGUUUCUUGUCCCGGCCGGACAUUUACCAUCUUUGAUCUAAAAUUUGGCAGUGAGAUGGGUUUGACUUCGGCCACAGGGACAAAACAAUUCGACCAACAAGUGAAAUCACAGACAGACAGAUUGGCUGAUGAUAACAGCUGCAUCACGUGACAGAUUUUCCUCCUUGGAGAUUUCCAGGCAGGGCCACCUGACGGGCAUCUGAGACCCUAAUGGAGGAAGGAAGGAAAAUGAUGUGUGUGCCCCCCCCCCCUCCUUUGCUGUGUGUUUCAGAGCAGGUGAGAAACAUUAACAUCAGCAGCAGCUGCAGCACCUCUGCUCCACACAUGGGGACCAGGAUAUGAGCUAGCUUUAGCUCGCUCUCCGUCAACACUAGGUCACUUACGUUAACACUCUCCUCUCCAACCCACGCAAACGGGACAGAAAAAGAAAGGAGAGCCGAGGGGAAGCUUGGGGGGGCGGGGGUAUUUUCAAUCUUUUUUAUUGUCAAAGUAAUGCUUAGAUGUAGGAAACACAGUUGUAUUCUACAAACAGCUCCUCCUCAGUGUACCACUGAAGAAAUACUUAUUUGAUCCAAUAUUGUAAUAUUCAUAACAUUUUGAGAGGUCAAAAGAGUCAAAGUUACAAGCAAAUAUUGUACGUAACGGGGAAAUAAAUAAAUAAUCAUAAUAAACUGUAAAACAGAAUGAAGAGCAGAAAAAAAAGUGAUCAUUUUAAUUCAUGUUUGUUUGCUUUUGACAACCAAUGCUGAAUUGUAACAGCUUCAUUUGCCAUCGUCAUAU